ACGGGGUGCAGCAGGCGCGAAAACUUCACAAUGUGGGAAACCGCGAUGAGGGGAUUCCAAGUGUUUGCGUUUUGCGUAAGCUGUUCUCCUGCCUAAAAAGCAGGGGGAGUAAGGGCUGGGUAAGACGGGUGCCAGCCGCCGCGGUAAUACCCGCAGCCCAAGUGGUGGUCGAUAUUAUUGAGCUUAAAGCGUCCGUAGCCUGUCUGGUAAAUUCUUGGGUAAAUCGUGCAGCUUAACUGUCCGAAUUCCGGGGAGACUGCCAGACUUGGGACCGGGAGAGGUUGGAGGUACUCCUGGGGUAGGGGUAAAAUCCCGUAAUCCUGGGAGGACCAUCAGUGGCGAAGGCGUCCAACUGGAACGGAUCCGACGGUCAGGGACGAAGCCCUGGGUCGCGAACUGGAUUAGAUACCCAGGUAGUCCAGGGUGUAAACGCUGCAGACUUGGUGUCGGAGGUCCUACGAGGGCGUCCGGUGCCGGAGAGAAAUUGUUAAGUCUGCCGCUUGGGGAGUACGUCCGCAAGGAUGAAACUUAAAGGAAUUGGCGGGAGAGCACCGCAACGGGAGGAGCGUGCGGUUCAAUUGGAUUCAACGCCG
rnacentral:rRNA from 1 species